CCUGGUGGCUCAGAUGGUAAAGCGUGCGCCUACAAUGCGUGAGACCCGGGUUCAAUCCCUGGGUCAGGA
rnacentral:tRNA from 1 species